rnacentral:lncRNA from 1 species
UUGGGCAAUCAAGUUUUUAUCAUCGUCGGGAUGAGGUUCUCCUUCUGUUCUUGACGUAGUCGAUCUCAGCUCAAGUUAGGAUGAGGUUCUUCUCCUAUUCCCAAUGGGGCUGUGGGGGCACAUAAGGGUCGUUGCAAGGGCCUUUCUCUCCAUCCAGUCUAAAAGAACCGGGCCUUCGACUUUGCUCAUGUUAGGGAGAGGUUCUCCUCCUAUCCCUAACA